UUUUCCUCCUGGCAGCCUCGCUGCCCUCACUAACUUUUUGACUUUUCUUUUUCUUCUUGUUUCUGACCUAUCCAGCUGCCAAAGCAGCUCCUCUGCCCGCCUUGUCCAGCUGCAAAGCAGCUUCCUUUUCUAACGCUGGCCUUCUUCUUUUCACGCCAGCUGCAAAGGCAGCUUUGCUUUCCUUAUUAUUCUCCUCUCAAUGCUCUUUAAGACUUUCAGUAUAUAAUCUCACUGACUACCAACUCUGAAUAAAGAGAUCCUGCAUGCAAAUUUCACACAAACAUGUCGAAAAUGAGUUUUUCAUUAAAUUACUUUUCAGUUUAUGUUUUUGGCUAGAUAGGAAAGACGUUAAAUACUCUAUGUACUUAUUUCCAAAUUAUUUUAAUGGAAUACAAUCUUGACGAAGUUAUUACAUAAAAUUUCACUUGUUCUAUUUUUAUUUUCUUUGCAUAACAAAUCCUAUAAACACAAAAAUAACGUAAAUAGCUCAAAAAUAUAAGGAACUAACUAAGAAAAGACGAGUGAAUUUGAAGUAAAAAUAUAUAUAAAUAUGAUCCGAUCAAAUUGGCGGCUGAAGUGAUGAGUCUCAAACAGGAGAUUAGAGGGCUCAAGCAUGAGAAUAAACAGUUGCACCGGCUCGCACGUAACUAUGCUACAAACAUGAAGAGGAAGCUUGACCAGAUGAAGGAAUCUGAUGGUCAGGUUUUACUUGAUCAUCAGCGGUUUGUGGGUUUGUUCCAAAGGCAUUUAUUGCCUUCGUCUUCUGGGGCUGUACCGCGUAAUGAAGCUCCAAAUGAUCAACCUCUGAUGCCUCCUCCUUCUAGGGUUCUGUCCAGUACUGAGGCUCCGAAUGAUCCCCUCCGGUGCCUUCUCUUUCUGGGGCUCUACCGACCGCUGAGACUUCUCCUAAGCAACCUUUGUGAAGGCUCCCUCUUGUUUGUUUAUUUUGACUCAUGUAUAUGUACAUAUUUGUAACUUAUCGGGAGAUAUCAAUAAAUAAGCUUUUCCUUCAUUUCAACGUAUUGUGUUAAAUACACCAAAGCCUUCUUCGCUAAGUUCUUUGAAUUUUUUUCACUGAGCUGGGGUCGGCAAGUCACUGGGGAAUAUAUGAAUCUUAGAACGCCAUUGUGCUCCGAUCCUGUGUCAUGUCCUCCGUUAGAUCCAAGUACUCUAAGUCUUUUCUUAGAGUCUCUUCCAAAGUUUUCCUAGGUCUUCCUCUACCCCUUCGGCCCUGAACCUCUGUCCCAUAGUCGCAUCUUCUAAUCGGAGCGUCAGUAGGCCUUCUUUGCACAUGUCCAAACCACCGUAACCGAUUUUCUCUCAUCUUUCCUUCAAUUUCGGCUACUCCUACUUUACCUCGGAUAUCCUCAUUCCUAAUCUUAUCCUUUCUCGUGUGCCCACACAUCCAACGAAGCAUCCUCAUCUCCGCUACACCCAUUUUGUGUACGUGUUGAUGCUUCACCGCCCAACAUUCUGUGCCAUACAGCAUCGCCGGCCUUAUUGCCGUCCUAUAAAAUUUUCCCUUGAGCUUCAGUGGCAUACGGCGGUCACACAACACGCCGGAUGCACUCUUCCACUUCAUCCAUCCAGCUUGUAUUCUAUGGUUGAGAUCUCCAUCUAAUUCUCCGUUCUUUUGCAAGAUAGAUCCUAGGUAACGAAAACGGUCGCUCUUUGGUAUUUCUUGAUCUCCGAUCCUCACCCCUAACUCGUUUUGGCCUCCAUUUGCACUGAACUUGCACUCCAUAUAUUCUGUCUUUGAUCGGCUUAGGCGAAGACCUUUAGAUUCCAACACUUCUCUCCAAAGGUUAAGCUUUGCAUUUACCCCUUCCUGAGUUUCAUCUAUCAACACUAUAUCGUCUGCGAAAAGCAUACACCAAGGAAUAUCAUCUUGAAUAUGUCCUGUUAACUCAUCCAUUACCAACGCAAAAAGGUAAGGACUUAAGGAUGAGCCUUGAUGUAAUCCUACAGUUAUGGGGAAAGCUUUCGGUUUGUCCUUCAUGAGUUCUUACGGCAGUCUUUGCUCCUUCAUACAUAUCCUUUAUAGCUUGGAUAUAUGCUACUCGUACUCCUUUCUUCUCUAAAAUCCUCCAAGAAUGUCUCUUGGGACCCUAUCAUACGCUUUUUCCAAAUCUAUAAAGACCAUGUGUAAAUCCUUUUUCCCAUCUCUAUAUCUUUCCAUCAAUCUUCGUAAGAGAUAGAUUGCCUCCAUGGUUGAGCGCCCUGGCAUGAACCCGAAUUGGUUGUCCGAAACCCGUGUCUCUUGCCUCAAUCUAUGCUCAAUGACUCUCUCCCAGAGCUUCAUUGUAUGACUCAUUAGCUUAAUACCCCUAUAGUUCAUGCAAUUUUGUACGUCGCCCUUAUUCUUGUAGAUAGGCACCAAAGUGCUCUCGUUCGCCACUCAUUUGGCAUCUUCUUCGUUUUCAAAAUCCUAUUGAAAAGGUCAGUGAGCCAUGUUAUACCUGUCUCUCCCAAAACUUUCCACACUUCGAUUCGGUAUAUCGUCUGGGCCUACUGCUUUUCUAUGCUUCAUCUUCUUCAAAGCUACAACCACUUCUUCCUUCCGGAUUCGACGAUAAAAGAGUAGUUUCUACACUCUUCUGAGUUACUCAACUCCCCUAAAGAAGCACUCCUUUCAUGUCCUUCAUUGAAAAGAUUAUGAAAAUAACCUCUCCAUCUGUCUUUUGACCGCGUUCUCUGUAGCAAGAACCUUUCCAUCCUCAUCCUUGAUGCACCUCACUUGGUUUAGGUCCCUUGUCUUCUUUUCCCUUGCUCUAGCUAGUUUAUAGAUAUCCAACUCUCCUUCUUUGGUAUCUAGUCGCUUAUACAUAUCGUCAUAAGCCGCUAACUUAGCUUCUCUCACAGCUUUCUUCGCCUCUUGCUUCGCUCUUCUAUACCUUUCACCAUUUUCAUCGGUCCUAUCCUUGUAUAAGGCUUUACAACAUUCCUUCUUAGCCUUCACCUUUGUUUGUACCUCCUCAUUCCACCACCAAGAUUCCUUUUGGUGUGGGAGCAAAGCCCUUGGACUCUCCUAAUACCUCUUUUGCUACUUUUCGGAUACAACUAGCCAUGGAAUCCCACCUUUGGCUAGCUUCCCCCUCUCUAUCCCACACACACUGGGUGAUUACUUUCUCUUUGAAAAUGGCUUGUUUUUCUUCCUUUUAGAUUCCACCAUCUAGUCCUUGGGCACUUCCAAGUCUUGUUCUUUUUUCUCACUCUUUUGAUAUGUACAUCCAUCACCAACAAGCGAUGUUGAUUAGCCAAGCUCUCUCUCCCGGUAUAACUUUGCAAUCCUUACAAGUUAUACGAUCCCCUUUCCUCAUUAGAAGAAAAUCUAUUUGUGUUUUUGACGACCCACUCUUGUAGGUGAUCACAUGUUCUUCUCUCUUCUUAAAGAAGGUGUUGGCUAAGAAGAGAUCAUAUGCCAUUGCAAAAUCCAAGAUAGCUUCCCCAUCCUCGUUUCUCUCCCCAAAACCAUGGCCACCAUGAAAACCUCCAUAGUUGCCUGUCUCCCUGCCCACGUGUCCAUUUAAAUCUCCUCCUAUAAAUAACUUCUCCGUCUGGGCAAUUCCUUGCACCAAGUCUCCAAGGUCUUCCCAAAAUUUCUCCUUUGAACUCGUAUCCAACCCUACUUGAGGUGCGUACGCACUAAUCACAUUGAUGAGUUCUUGUCCUAUUACAAUCUUGAUUGCCAUGAUUCUAUCUCCUACCCUCUUGACAUCUACAACAUCUUGUGUCAAGGUCUUGUCCACGAUGAUGCCAACACCGUUUCUUGUUUUAUUUGUGCCCGAAUACCAAAGUUUAAACCCUGAGUUUUCUAGAUCCUUUGCCUUAAGACCAACCCACUUAGUUUCUUGUAGGCACAUAAUAUUUAUCAUUCUCCUCACCAUAACUUCCACUACUUCCAUAGAUUUUCCCGUUAAGGUUCCUAUAUUCCACGUUCCUAAACGUAUUCUACUCUCUUGAACUCUACCCUUGUGUCCUAGCUUCUUCACCUUUCCCCGUCCAAUAGGAUCAAAGUACUUCUUUUGUGUGUCAUGUGCAAAGUUGAUAGGAGCAUAUGCUCCCAAACAACUUUGAGUGGAGUCGUUCGAAAAGAAGUUUCUAUGGCCCCCUUGCUCAUUUAACACUGCAUCCGGGUACCGAUGGAGAUACAGCGACCCUUGCUCACUUAUCACUGUGCUCGGGCCACACAGCGCGCCACUUACGGGUGACGCCCUAGCUUUAGCGCGAUUUCGUUCUGGAUUCAUUUUCAUAAGGAUUCGACAUAACCGGAGUGCCGGCUGUCGACUACCUGACUUCCUUCCCCUCCUCCUUUACCCGGGCUUGGGACCGGCAAUGUAAGAUAAACUUACACAGGCGGAGUUACUUCGGUAAAUUCUACAGAAGCUCCAAAAUUUUAUAAAUUUUCCUGCGUUUUCUCGAGAACCAAACAGACCGUGCAACUCAAAAGAAAACGGAAAAAAAUCGUAAUUGUGUGAGAUAAACCUGAGAAUACUGUUUCCGGCUAGCGAUGGACUGCAGCGAGUAAAUAGGCCUUUUUUAAAGACAGGAAGGGUCGAAACGUUUCGAAGGAGGUUUCGGCGAUCGGGCUUGUCGUCGAAAUUGACUUCUCUGAAUCAGAAGAAGCUCCUCCUCACUGUUGUGCAUUUACGGACGACUACCAUUGUCUUCCAUUGCCAUCGAUCAUGGAGAAUCUCUCAGCGAUAGAGAGAGCAAAUCCCAGUGUGUGUAAUUUGCAUUUGCAACUAAAAUCUACCGACUGACUCUUUGUGUUGUGGUAUUUUUGGGUCGGUUUAGUUUUGUGCUCGUCAAUAUACCCGGCAGUUUUUGAUGUGGAAAGGUGACACGAUACAAAAACGAUACGAAAAUAAUAGGUUUUAGAUCAACACGAUAACUUAUCGGAUCAUUAUCGGAUGACCCGUUAAUAACGGGUUCUUAAUGGAUAUACACGCGGGUAAUACGUGGAUAACCAUUUCGACCCGUUAAGAAAAAAUUUAUUUUGAUAAUUUUAAAGUUUAAUUACUAAAAGAUUUAUUAUAAAAUACAAUAGCAAUAUUAAUAUAUACAAUAUAUUCUAUAUUAAAUAUAUAGUUUUGUAUUAUUAUUCUAUAUAAGUUUUAAAAAAAAAAUUUAGUCCUUAUUUAUUUUUAUUAUGAGAUUUCCUUAUUAUCAUUACUAGGAUAAAUUUUACUUAACAUGUUGUUGUCCAAAAUUAAAAUAAACUAAUAUAGUAUUUGUAUAGGUAAGAACUAAGAAGACAUACAUACAAGUAUGAAAAAUAUGAAAGAAUAUAUAAACACUCGUGAUUCAUCAUUAUUCCUCUACGAGUAGAUAAUGGUUACUCUUACAUUAUCGUUUAGAUUUUUAAAAUCCUCCAAACCUUCAUGAAUAAUGUUUUUUAUUUGAGGGAAAAAUUAAUAAAAUUAAUAGUAAUUAUUGUAGAAUUGUAAAAAAAUGUAAAAAAAAAAAAUAUACAAUCACUCAUAAUGACAAACUUUACAACUUUCAUGAAGGGGUCAGCUUCGAAAUCCAACACUAUAAUUCAUAAACUUUAAAUUUAUAUUUAACCGUCGAUUGCCAUAUACGCUUUAUUCUUCUUACUGAAUUUCAUUUUUAAAUUUUUUUUUUUUUAAACAUGAUCAUAUGGUGGAUGUAAGAAGAUGAAUGGUUUAGAUCUUUGAUAUCACGUUUCGAUAUUUACGGUUAACUGAAAUAUGAGUCGAUGUUAUAUAGUUUAUAGAAACUUUAUAAACAUCAAGCAAUAUUUUCACUAACCAUAAAACUCUGAAAUAAUAUCAACGAUCCAAACCGUUCAUUUUCUUGCAUCAUUUAAUAGAUCAAGUUUUCAAAAAAGAAAAUCUAAAAAAAAUAAAAUUUGAUGAGAACAAUGAAGCGUAAAUGUAAACAACAUUCAACGGUUAAAUUUUGAUCUAUGAUUUAUAUGAUUAUAGUGGCGAAUUUCGAAGUUAAGCUCUUCAUGAAAGUUGUAAAGCUUGUCAUUAUGAGCGUUUAUAUAUUUUUUUCUAUGUUUUUUUUUACACUUCUACAUUAAUUAAAAAACUAUUAAAGACUUUAGGUAAGUGAAAAUAUACUUAAAAGAAAAAUGUGUUUUAUGUUUUGGACGUGACAAUAUGGUAUGUAUAUACUUAUUUAGUAUUAUAUUUUUCAUUUGAUUAUUUAUUGGUUUAAAAUAUAUUUUCCUUAACGGGUAAUGGGUCGGGUCGGGUUAUAUUAUCUGUUAAUAUUAUCGGGUCGUUUUCGGGUCGGGUCAUUUUACCCAUUUAUUUUAACGGGUGUUACACGACACGAUCCGUUAAGAUAUUGUGUAUGACACGAAAACGACACGAAUACAAAAAACACAACACGAAUGCCAAGUCUACUCGUAAACACACUUAUUUCUACUUCUCAAACAUCACUUAUUAAUUUAUGUCAUUUAACUAUUUCAAUUGAUCAACAAAUGGAAAAUAAUAGAGGUGUGUGAAAGGUAAAAAUGGGUGUGUAUAUAUCACCAUCCAAAAGUUAUCUUUGUAUGUAUUUUUUUAAUUGUCAAAAGAUAUUUGGAUUAGGAUAAUAUCAGUUAACUAAAUUUUUAAACCAAAUUUGCAAAUGUGCUACCAAUAAAAAAUAAACAUUUUGAUUUGAUUCCUCAUUUUCAAGUAUUGAGUUACGAAUUAGCUAGCCCUUUAAAUUCCAUGCUUGUUAGUAAACACACAAAUGUCGAGAACUAGGUGAAAGCUUGAGUUGGUUCUCCCCCAUAAACCUAAUAGAAGGCUGAUCCCAUUGCCUGGGAACCUCUUGAUAUUUGUUGGUAUAAGCUUAAUGUUGAUGGUUCAAAAUUGGUGCGAGUGGAGUUCUCUGCCAAUUUGGGACAAGGAGAUUUUAUUGACAAAGAUGCUUGUUGUCACUUUGUUCCAACAAAAUCUGAUUAAUAGAAUUAUCCUCUUGAUACUUGAUAUAAUUGUGAGCAGAUGUAAAAUAUCAAUGAGUUAAUUGGUUAGAUGUGAGCUGAAGCAUGAAGCAUGAAGCAUGAAGCAUGUUUUCAGGGAGCGGAAUUGUGUUGCUCAUUAGUUGCCAAAUUGGAGUUUUAAUAUGGAUCUCGGCAUCUUUGUCUUCAAUAACCCCCCAUGCAACCUGCCUGGAUUGGAUCAACUCUCGUAGAUGGUUUUCUUGGCAUUGCUAAGCUGCGUUUUGCUUGUGGAUGUUUGACGUUAGGUUCUUCAAAUUUCUUCAUUUGAAUGGAACUACGAUUAAAAUGGGAUGACACCAAAAUACAAUUGAAAAGUAGAGAGUUGGAAGAUAAAACGGGAACAACUAAUCGGUUUCCUUCUUAUAAGAACAAGCAAAGUCCAAAAUUUUGAAAUUUGAUCGAUUUCCUUCUCUUGUUAAUUCUUACUCUUAGUCAUCACACAAAAAAAAAAGAAAAAAAAAGAAACACUCCUUCAUCGGACACAAACAUAAUCUAAAUUCUCAAUGUGUAUGUAGUCAUCAACAACUCAUUAUGUAAAUCUAACACCCUUGUAUAUGUAAUCUCAACCUAAGAUGUUUGAGAGGAAAUUUGUGAGAUUUCGUAGUGUAUAAGCAUCCACAAAUCUCACCUCACCCCAUGAUAUUUUGAGGGAAUAUAAUCUAAAUUUUAUAUGGAAUCUCUACUAAUCAAUUAAACUUCAUAAAAAUCCCUGGAUUUAUAAGUCCAUUAAAAUCUCUCAAAAUUCCAAUUGAAUAGUUAGGAGAGAGAGAAAGUUAAACUUCUGAUAAACAUUAAAAGCUAUAAAUUACAUUGUUUGUGGGCUCCAAGCAAAGAAAAAGGGUUUGAGUUGUUAAAUUCAGAAGAAGAAAAAAUAAAUUGUUGUGGCCUAUAUUUAAUAGAGAGGUGCGGCAAAAGGAAGAGAAGGAGAUUGGAGAAUAGACUUGAGGAAUUGUGUGCUAAUUUCUCAGUCAUUGUGCCUUUAUUUAUAGUAAUAAGGAGAAGAGAAACUUGUUCUCUAAGUAAUACAAAGUAUAUUAGGAAAGAUCUUCUAGAUCCCAAAGGAUUCCUAUUCUAUCUUUACUUAGGAUUUACACAAUCACAUAUUGAUAAGAACAUAUGUCACAACACUCCACCUUGAGUGUGCAAAUACUCAAGUAGAUGGCGCAUCAGAUCUUCAGGCAAAUGUAGAAGCAGUUGAUGAAGUCGUCUCGUUUAGUCGACACAAGUGGCGAAUGCGAGUCUCAAAAUAAACGGAAGAAUGCAUGGGUAGUAAAACUCAUAAAACCUCACUAUGGCAAAACCCAAGAUGGGAAAAAAGCUCAUAGUCAAAGGAGAAAUGUGAGAAGUUGCAUUAAGUCAAAACUAUACGUCUUCUGGACGCAAGUAAAAAAUCUCACAAGGGUAUGAUCAGCCCAGGAUGGGUGCACCGUUAAAACCUAGUUAGGUAGCAAAAACCCAAUAGGAAAAAUGCUCCUAAUCAUAGGGAAAAAGAAUACAUUAAGAUCAAGUGAGUAUACUUCUGGAUACUCCCCGUGAGUUUGACAAAACUUCCAAAUGAAACUAGAAGCAUCGCAAAUGAGAAAGUUACGCAUACCAAUUCCUUGGACAAGCUUCUGGAAGGUAGACUUUGGCAGUGACGUUGUAUAGGUCAGCAAGGUUGUCUAGGAUCAGACUGCUUGACUUUAAUCUUCUGAUGGUCAUGAUGAUGUAGACACAAUAUGUUUGGUGUUGAUUUGUUUGAUGUAUCAUGAUCUAGUCGAUACAUACGGCGUUAUCUUCAUGGAUCGUUGUUGGGACUCUUCAUGGAUCGUUGUUGGGACUCAAUGAUGGAUGAAAAUCAUAAGGAGUUUGAAUAUGCUCAACAAGAGUUCUCGACCAUAUCUUUCAUGUGAUGAGACAAAGUGAGUCUUGGAACGAUUCAAAGGUUUCACAACAAAGGUCUAUUUGGUUGACCUCUAAGAUAUUGCGGUGUUCCUUAAUGGUAAAGACUUAACCAUUCUAGAACAUACCUUAUGCGGUCAGAUAGUUAGUCUGAUUCAGCAAAUUCUAUAAGGUAGGCAUCAUUUCGAAUAUCAAAGGGUUGUGAUAUAUUAUGAGAUGCAUAGGGAUAGAUAAGCCCAAAUCCAUAGUAAGGAAAAAAUGUCUUUAACACCAAAUUUGGUGGUGGCGUGUAGGCGCAGUGCUGCUUUAUGCCAAAAGAUUAUCAGCACGUAAGAUGUCUGAUAUAAUGCAUUGAACUAAGUACAACAAACGCCAGUGGUACUUAGAUAUGGCUGCCUCACAUUCCAAUAUGGAACCUUAUGCUUCAUACCCUCUGUAAAGGUCUCAUUUGCAUCUAGCAUACAGACGAUCAGGGUAUACUCGGACGUAACACCUUCUGGGUCUAGUUCAAGUGGUGGACCAGAAUACCAUCUAAACUAGCUUGAAACUUUAGGUAAAGGUAAUGUCGAGUUCUCCCAAGAUCAUUCAUUUUAAAAGUCCAACAUGCGAGUUAAUUUUCUCAACUUUAGCAAUCUCUAAUUUUGUACACACAUGGGCAUAUAUCCCUAACUGAUCAAAUAUUCACUUAGACGGGUAUACCACAUUCGCCAGGAUAGUUCUACAUCCGCAAAGUGAAAGCCUAUCGAGAACUGAAAUGGUGUUUUUAUGGUCUAGAACUAUUUGAAUCAGUACAUAUAAGUCCUUUGGAAACUCCAUGUAGGUUCCUAUCACAAUCCCAGAUAUACUACAACCACGUUUGUAAUGCUGUAAUCAAUCACAUGGUGUAUGAGAGAAACCUUGCGCUACAAGGCGUCAUUCACACUAUUUCAUUCUUCUCAUUCAUCAUAGAUUGAUUCUUUUAGUUGAGCAAUCAAUUAUACAUUGACAUCAAUCAACAAAAUACAGUUCGUUAUCGUUGCUUUUCAUUUAUAUUAGUAGUUACCAUAUAAAUGAAACAUCAUCUAUGAUAAUCUCCUUCCAAUUCCAUAUCUCAUCCAAACUAGUAUAUUGGACCAAGAACUUCAGGUCUCGGGAGUAAUCCGGAUUUAAUCUCAUGAGAUGAAAAGGAUUGAGACAACGAUCGAGGGGCGAAUUCGUUCGUGCCAUAUUCCUCCAAAAGAUGUUGGGUUCGUAUUUGGUAACCAACUGACAUGCGCUUUAUAAGGUUGGGUCGUGACGGGCCUCAGGCGGACCAACAUAGUUGCUUGCAAUAUUGCAUGGCCACAAGCAGAGAUCGGGAACUUGGUACGUAUGACCAAUCGAUCGCACAAUCAUUGAAGGCAUUUAAUGAAUGCUUCUACUGGGUUGUUCUGGGUAUGAACAUGGGGUACUUGAUGUUCAACUUCAAAACCCAACCGACAUGCAAUAGCCAUCGAAUGUUAAAGUUUUCAAUGUAAAUUCUCCAUCUUAUCCAAUCAAAUAGGUUUGAUCAGAUAAUCAGGGUGGUGAGCCCUGAUCUUGUUAAUCUGAGCUACCAGUGUGGAGAAUGCAAAUUGUGGACAACAGCUACAUGUGUGACUAACAUGUAGAAGCAUCAACCACUACCAUAAAGUAUCUAAAUGGUCCAUAUGGUGGUUGAUUCAGUCCAUAAAUGUCCCAUUUAAAUCCUUUGUAGAAAAGGUGGAAGGUGCUAAGGUAUAAUACGCUUCAAGGUAUGAUGUUAUUACUUAUGGUAAAAGGAUGCCCAAAAUGAUCCAUCACGGAUCAUCCUAGAUAUCCCAAAUGUACAUCCAUAGCAAAAAUUCCUUUGGAAUCACAAGCUUAUGGCCAGCCAUAUAGGGGCUUGAAUGGGUAUAAUCCACUCAUUAAGCGUUCCAUCUUCUCUAGAAUAUGCAUAUGGCUAUAUUCGUAGGAAGUGCAAUAUGGUAAUAUGCCAAGGAAUUCUACUCCAUUUUUCUACAUUGGUUUCAAUAUGGUAAUAAUACUCUCGAAUAUCCUUAAAGCUCAAAAGGGCGUUCUUGUGGAACAAGUGAGUAUAAGGCUUCCCUUUAUGCUAAAACUAGUACCAUUGGACAAUAUAGAGCAAUGCCAUACCCCAUAAUCAGGUUGGAUAAGCCUAAAAGGUUGUCAGGGGAUGAUUAAGUAUGAAGUUAGCAUAGAACCAGACAACUAACUUCCCCACAAAACAUACCUAAGCAUGAGUUAAUUGUAGUCACAUGUGGUAAUUUUCGUUAAUUAACUCUUAUUCUAGAACAAUAGUGACAUCCAAACACCAAUCUUAAACCUGAGAAUAAAAUAAAUUAUUCACAAAGUAAACCAAAAAGACAAGGGGGUUCGGCCAAUAGGCCUUCCAUGUCAAAUUUCGCUCUUCCAAAUGUGUUAGGUGGAGCAAAAUUAGUCUUACAGAUUGACUACGGGAAUAGUACUCCCCAACAACAUUGGUAGAGGCAUAUACAAGUGCAUAACCAAUGACCUAUUUCGUCAAAACGGAGUUAGAUUUUGCAGGGUUGAAGUUCAGUAAUACUAUCCUUUAUUCUUUGAAGUUUUAGGUGCCAAGGGUCAUGCUUCGGGCGUGAUUCCACCUCUUGGCAGGCUUGAUUCUACCAUAUGUUGUAAAAUACAUUCGAAAAAUGGGAUUGUGAGAGAGGGACAGACCUUUGGGUUUUGUAGGCCCCUGCCGAAACAGAGCAUUAUUGUUCGGUGCACCUCUACCAAAGCAGAGCAUGCCCUACGGUGCAUCCCUGCCGAAGCAGGGCACCACCAUUCGGUAGGCUUCAGCCGAAACCGGGUCUAUACCGUUUAGUAGCUCCCAACUGAAUUGCUAGGGCACCAUUCUCUCAUAAGUGUGGCAGUAAUCAGAUCUAAGAAUUUGGUGAACUUCUGCUCUCUAUAUUGCUACUUCAGAAGCAAUUUAGAUAUAGAAUGACGAGAAAAAUUUUCUUUCAAUCAAAAUUCGAUCGGAUGUAAUCUUUAAAAUUAUACCUAUUCAUAGACGUAAAGGUUUCAAUCAUGUUUUGCUUCGGGCAAAAAUUCAUCUUUGCAUGAUUUGAAACAGUUAAUAAUGAGUCAAAGAGCCAUGGAGUCCUCGGCAGUGAGGUACUUCUAUUUGAUGCUUCAACCAUAAAUCUUCGAAUAAAGAUUAUGGCGGAUUCUUAUUCAGCUUUUCCACACCAUAACUGGCUGCAAUGAUUUCACUACUAGUUGUAGUCAAGUGGGGUGUCACGUCUUGUAUCCAUAUAAAGUAGUUUCUUUUUCAAAACUUCCAAAUUAGUGAAAUCAAACUUGUUACGGUUCGACAAUACGCUGAAUGGCAGAAAUAAGAAUGUGAUUGGUGUUUUAGAAAAUAAAAUUUCUAUAAACAUCAAAGUUGAACAUUCAGGUUCUAAGACAUGGUUUGGUUUAAGCGGAUUUAAGCAUGGAAACCUUCGUGUCUUAACAUGAGUGUUGUGCGUGAAGAAACUUCAGGUUUCGAUGACACUUUUCCAAAACUUCGGGUUCGAAGUAUGAACUUCAAGUUCAUAAUACCUACAAAUAAACGCAAUAUAUACAAAAAUAUGUAACAAGAAAAUAAAUAGAUUGAUAGUGGGCAGCUUCGGGACCCUUUGUGUGAAAGUUUAGGGAAAUGGCCCUAAAACAAAUAUGGAGUUUCAGGUCCAAAAAUUAUUAUUUUAAUCGGCUUGGUUGCAGGCCAACAAGGAAAAAAAAUUUGGGUUAACAAAACCUAGGCCCGAAUAUGGGCUAAGAAGAAAAAGGGAAAAACAAAUCUCGAUAUAUAGGGUUUAGAGUUUCAUAUGGGCUAAAGUAAUUAGGCCCAAAAAGGAAAAAAAAAUCCCACAAAGUCUAACUGGAAAAAAAAAAUAAUAAUUUGAAAGCCCAAAAAAUAAAAGAAGGAUCCUAAGCCCAGAUUGGGUUGCUAGGUUGCUGUACAGCAUGUCUAAAAUCAAAAAUGGGUUGCAAGGUCCUAAGCCCAAAAUGGGGCCCUGAGUUUAUAGACUCAAGCAGCUAAGACUACUGAUUUGUAGGCCCAAAAUGAGGCUGCAAGUGGGGUGUGGGCCUAGAGCAAUACAGGUCCAAAGCCUUCGGCGCGUGAGAGCUAAGCCCAUCUGCAAUGGGUGAGGCAUUUCGUCUGGAAAUAAUGGAAGACUGUUGUUGGCGGUGGUGCUCAGAAGCCGACGGCGUCACAAGAGACAGCGGCGAGCAUGGAUCACAGAGGUCAAGGCUGUCACCGUGGAUCCUCGAGAAAAUGAGACGAUGGAAGACGGCUGGGGAAGCUUGAAGACGAUCGUGUUGGGUCUGGACACCCACGAUCCGUCCUUGAGGACGCCAGAGACAUCAAGGGGACGACGAGAAACUUCAGACCGUCGUCGUGGGGGGAGGGCAUAUCACCAUCGCCAUAGCUGUUGGCUAUGAAGGUCUCAAUUUUGCAGAUUGAUCAUCUUGAUGAUGUCGUUUCGAACUCGUAUUUGGGUUCUGCGUGCCUGGGGGGCGUUGGCUCAAAUUGGAGCCAGCUUGGCUCAGCCAAAUGGCGCACCUCUUAGGUUAGUGGCUCGACUUUAGCUGCACGUGGGCCUGGUUAAAGCCAGACUAGGUUUUCCAAGCUCAAUACGAAUUCUAAGGUCUCAACAUUAUUUUUUCUUUCCUUUUUCUUCCUUAUUCACACAUAUUCAAUUCACAUAAUAGCAAUAUUAUGGAUAUAUUGCAUAAAAAAUUUAUGUAGAAUCUAAAAUUUGUAAAUCGUAAAGUUGGGUCAUGCAUUAUGGUGAAGGUUCAUGCAAUCAAGGCUGAAAAAAUAUCGAGAUAAAAACAGUUGUUUUAAAAGAACUUGGAUUGCGUGAUGAAUAUUGUGAACAUGUUUGUAGGAGUUCUUUCUUCAAUUUCGGUUUUCAUCUUCAAGCUUGUAUUACGUUCAACAUAAGAAGAAAAAUAAAUUGAAUCAAUAGAAGUAUAUGAAUUCAAUACAAUCAAAAUUUAAUCAAUUAAAAAUAAUUGAAAUGUAAUACUCCCCUGAUUGAAGAUGAAUAAAUUCUCUUUAAAUUCUUCGCACAACGUGAAGAACGUGCUAAUAACGUGUUGUGACUUAUAUUUAAUAGAAAGGUGCGGCAAAAGGAAGAGAAAGAGAUUAGAGAAAAGACUUGAGGAAUUGUGUGCUAAUUUCUCAAUCCUUGUGCCUUUUUUUAUAGUAAUAAGGAGAAGAGAAACUUGCUCUCCAAGUAAUACAAAGUAUAUUAAGAAAGAUCUUCUAGAUCCUAAAGGAUUCCUAUUCUAUCUCUACUUAGGAUUUACACAAUCACAUAUUGAUAAGAACAUAAGUCACACCAUAAAUUAGAAUAUCUGAAUUUAAGCUAAAAUAGUUAGCUAGAAUUGUCAAAAAUGAUGGCUAGCUGAAUUAACAUUUAGGUCAUUUGGCUAGCUACAAUUAAACCGCAUAGUACAAGAAUUUGAAGACUCUUGUGAAGAAUUUGGACACUGAAGUUUUGUCUAGAUUGUACGGAGGCGAGGAAGGUGGUGGAGUGUCCCCUCCAAGUGGUGUGGCAGCAUUGGGCACCUAAUGAUCCUCGUGCCAAUCUAGAGUAGUGUGAUACUGAUUUACGAUAGUGAUGCAAUUCUAUAUUUGUUGUUUAGUAAUAUCAAAUUAUCAAUUGUAAUCCAAAUUUCAAUAAAACGGAAAAUGAUUAUUGAUCAACAUGUCAUAUGUUUCUUCUUUAUUAUCUGGGCAAGACAACCCAAAUAAAACUAAAGAUAUACCUCAGAAAGAAUUAUAAAAUACUAAAAAAAACCUAAAAAACUGAUCAAUAAUACAUAAUAUUUGUACUAAUGAAAAAAGCUCAUAUUGGCCCGUUCUAAGCCCAUGUUAAACCUAGACAACCUGGACGACCUGCCUUGCCAAGCACAGCUCCAUGGGCUAGCCCUACCUAUAACUUAAAAGCUUGAAUUAUACAUGAUAAAAUUUCUAAACUGAGUUCAAAAUAAGAAUUAAGUACCAACAAAGCAACAACCCAAGGAACCAUUAUUUAUCAACAAACCGCGUGCCUGUUAGAGUAAUCCUUCUGGGCUACAAAGAUGGGAUGCUGGGUUAUCGCCAUCCAUCAUUUCUAAGCAGCUUUAAUAAGAUAUUUAGUAUUUUAACUUGGUAGAAUAGAUACAUUUGUAAUCAAGCUAAUGUCUAAGAAACCCUAAGUAUCAGUUUGGACAAUGAACAAAAUUCCAGUCAGAACCUUAUGACUUAGAAUCUUACGAAACAUGCAAAGCAGCUCCAUGACGAGACAAAAUUGAAGCAACGGGAUCAUAACCAUCUCUGAGAGCAACUGUUGCAGUAUCCAGCUGUAAGGUCAGCAGGCUGUGCCAUCUCUGGUACCACCAAUAUAUUCCACCAAUUUUAGCCGCCAAUAGAAUAGAAGUUUGCUUAUUUUCUUGAUAUUUCUUCAGAAUGUUAGCUGCCUUUGCAAGAAUAUCAUCUACAGUUUCUUGAUUGUCCUUAUUUUAAUUUUCCACUUAUACUCCAUAAUUGUCCCUAGUUUACUAACCAGAGCACUUGUUCGGAAACUAGCUGACCAGAUUCAAAGCUUUUUGUCCCAACAGUGGUUUUUUUUUUUUAAUCCUUGAACUUUCCAUAUCGCAUUACUGCUUCGUGUAAGAUAAAUUAAUGAGUACUUUUUUUCAGCGAGUGAAGUUUUUAUGUGCUUUUUUCCUUCAUACUUUUACGAAAAAGCAAACUAAAACUGAAAAUUGGAUAUGAACAAGUAUUCAAACAAUUGAGCUGCAUCUGACUGUCAGCAGAAGAUGAUUUUUCUUAAUGAAAAUGCUGUUCUUGAUUUAAAAGAUCAGCAGCCUGUUUCUAGGGGUUGCUUUUCUUCUUAUCAUCUUGUAAAGUUUCUGGUAAUUUCAUUUCCUUUAUGUCUUUGGCUUCUUUCCUUUUCUUUUGCCUAGUUUUCCCCUUUGAGCUUUUUGUCCAAUAACAUUUUUGAUUUUUUUUUUUGCCUAGUACAUCGCUUAUUAUGACAAUAUUUCAAUUGCAUAGUCGAUUCUUUUUUCUUUCUUGCAUCAGGUUGUCAUUGUAUUAUUUUUGACACGGCUUGGAUGGUUCAUCCCUGGAGAAUUUGGUAUUUUCCCCGAAAACUGGAUAUCUCAGUGUUAGUGGUUGCCUUGUGCCUUGGGACUAGCAAUGAUGAAGGAUCAUCUGAGGAGUCUCACAUAGAAUUAAAGUCUAAAGGGGCAUCAUCUAAUUAAUAUUCUAUUGCCAAGGAACGUCCUAGGAGGGUGGUUACAAAACCUAUUGGAAGGAGUUAUCUCUUAGCUGUAAAGUUAAAGUUACUUAGCUGUAAAGUUAAAGUUAUUAUAAGGAGUGUAAGUAGGUUGGCUGUUUACAUUAGCUAAGGAGUGUAAGAAGGUUGCUGUCUUGUGUCCUUAAUUCAAGGGAUAUCUGACAGAUUGUGUCCUUAAUUCAAGGGAUCUUUCUUAGCUAUAAAGUUAAAGUAGUUUUAGGCGUGUGUUAUGGGAGGUCAGAAGGUUGUCUUCUACCUUGCCUAUAUAGUGUAACCAUUUCUCUUAUACUUUUUCACAAUUCAUAAUAUACAAAAACCUUCAAAUUACAACAUGGUAUCAGAGCAGUAACCCUAACAGGUCUGUCUCUGUAUAUCCUUGUGUGUUAAAAAUCUUUAUCAACCUUUUACAACGGCUGAAGAGAGUCCAGUUAUUCUGGAGGCAGAAAGCUCCCAUGCUUCUCCGUCUUCCAUCUUGUCCGACGUUGAUGUAAACCCAAACCAAUGUCUGAGUUCAGUGUUAUUAAAUGAAUUUAAUUAUCUUCCAUGGGAAAGAGCUGUAACACUUGCUCUGGGAGGACGAUCGAAACUCGGCUAUGUCAAUGGAGCUAUUCUUAUUCCUGAAGUCUACUCACCAACGUAUGACGCAUGGCUCUGCAAAGAUCAGCUUGUUAUGUCAUGAUUGCUUAACUCUAUGGAACGAAAGAUUGCUGAGAUCUUCAGUUAUGCCGAAUCUUCCAUGCAUCUUUGGAAAAAUCUUAAAGAGAUGUAUGGAAACCAGAAUAAUGUUGCUCGGGUUUUCCAACUCAAGAAAGACAUUGCUGGGUUGCAACAGGAAGGGAAAUCAUUUGUACACCAUAUUGGAAUGCUAACAACGAUGUGGAAUGAACUCAAUGUCUAUCACCCCCACACCAUCGACGCUGAAGUGCUGUUGAAACGAGCCGAGGAAGACAAAAUAUUCCAACUAUUGGCAAGCUUAAGUUCAGACUUUGAGGAUCUUCGAAGUCACAUUCUCAUGAACACGAAUCUUCCUUCUUUUUCAAGCAUUUGUGCUACUAUUCAAAGAGAGGAAGUUCGUAGAAAGGUGAUGAACAUGGAGGUGAAAAGUAACCUACCUGAAACUAAGGCUUAUGCUUCAAAUUAUAAGUCUAUUGAGGAAAGGAGUUACAAAGGAAAUUGAAGGGAUUUGAAGUGCAGCUACUGUAAUAAUGGUGGUCACUCAAGGGAUAGGUGCUGGAUCCUUCAUCCAGAAUUAAAACUUAAAUUCUUGAUAGAUCACAAGGCUCCCUUAAAGGCUGCGUAUGGAUCAUCUCAUAAAGCUAACCUCGCAACCUCUGAUCUCAUAGCUUCUGUCACCCCAGAUGAGAUGUCAAAAUUCACUACCAAUCCUGUAACUCUAAUCAAUGAGUUUGUCACCUUCCUUCACAAGAAACAAGGAGUCAGAGAUGGUGAAGAAGGUUCCUUAAAUCAAACAACUCUACUUGGGCAUUUCGCAAGGUUUCUAGCUGAAAAUAAGAACAUUGCCUCUGAAGACAUCCCAGGUAUUUUGAAAUAUUUUUCAACUGCCCUCUCAGUUAGUAGUGCACAUGAUUAUUGGAUUGUAGAUUUAGGUGCUUCUAAUUACAUGACGAAUAAGGUUACAAACCUACAUAAUUUUGAAACAAUAUCCGCACCCUCUCAUGUGUCAGUUGCCAAUGGUAAGAGGGCUUUAGUUCUAGGAAAAGGGAAAAUAAACUUGAUGUCCAAUAAUGUUGAGUCAAAUGCUUUCUAUGUCUUUUCAUUUCCUUUCCAACUUUUAUCUGUUGGACAACUCACAAACUCACUCAAAUGUCUUGCCAUUUUUUCUCCCUGCAAUGUCGUGUUUCAGGAUUUAGUCUCCAAGAAGAAGAUUGGUGAAGGUUUUUAUUUAAAUGGUCUCUAUUAUGUGUCCAAGGAAAUCCAAGUACCAAAAGUUUUUCAAGUCAGUACAAGCCAAGCUCAAGAACAAAUUUUGUGGCACCAACGAUUAGCACACCCCUCUGAGAAGGUCUUGACCUCAUUGUUUCCAAACCUAUGCAAAAAUGUCAACCAAUGUGAUGUUUGUCACUUGUCUAAGUUUGCUAGGUUACCUUUUUUCUUCUUCAAUGUCUAGGGCUAGUAAUCCUUUUGAAAUCGUGCAUUCUGAUAUUUGGGGGCCAAUUUUAAAGUCCUUUGAUGGAUACAAAUAUUUUGUAACCUUUGUGGAUGAUUUCACAAGGAUCACUUGGUUGUACCUUUUGAAAUUUAAGAGUGAAGUUAUGGAUGUUUUUCAAGAUUUUCACAAACUUGUCACUACUCAAUUUUCAUUAAAAAUUCAUAUCUUAAGAUCAGAUAACGGCACUGAAUAUAUGUCCAAUAAGAUGUCACACUAUUUGAGCACACAAGGUAUACUACAUCAAACAAGUUUUGUUGGAACACCUCAAUAAAAUGGGAUUGCCGAAAGAAAAAAUAGGGACAUUCUUGAGAAAACUAGGGCUUUUAUGUUUCACAUGAAUGUACCAAAGAAGUUUUGGUCCUAAGGAGUGCUUACUCUAGCCUAUCUCAUUAAUAGGUUACCAAGUAGAGUUUUGAAUUUCAAAUCACCUCAUGAAGUUUUGAAAGGAAAAUCUCUAAAUCUAUCACACUUGAGAGUAUUUGGUUGCACAUGUUUUGUUCAUGUUCAAACACCUCAUCACGACAAGUUGGAUCCGAAGGCUACAAAGUGUGUGUUUCUGGGGUAUUCCUCCACUCAAAAGGGUUAUAAAUGUUACAAUCCAACAAAAAAAAAAUGGUGAUCUCAAGAGACGUAAAGUUUGAGGAAAACAUGCCCUACUUCGCUUGGCUAACUAACUAUUCUAGUCAAGGGGAGCACUUGAUGGAUCUUUUUCCCAUGCCUCACUUGGGUCCUAUUGAGCAUAAUGUCUUAGAAUCUCUUCCAAGCCAAGUAGCUCCUAUUGUUCAGGAGGAACUUGAUGAGCAGGAAACAUCUUUGGCACUUGAACAUUCGCCCAAUCCAAAUGAUACCAUCCCCUCAAUAAUGGCACUAACUCCACAACCUGCCAAUCAAGCUCGUCGGAAUCCUUCACGAUAAAGAAACCCCCCACCUAGAUUGCAUGAUUAUGUGACCUAUAAUGCCAAGUACCUGUUGACAAGUGUUGUUGACUAUGACAAGUUUUCGUCUAAUCAUGUAGCCUUCUUAACGGCAAUCACCAAUGCUCAUGAGCCCCAGACCUUUGAUGAGGCAAACCUUCAUGACGAAUGGAGAAAGGCAAUGGAAGAAGAACUUCAGGCUCUCUAUAAUAAUCACACAUGGACGGUGGUCAAACUUCCUAAGGGAAAGAAGGCUGUGGGGAGUCGGUGGAUAUACAAAAAUAAGUUCAAGUCUGAUGGAACUAUUGAGAGGCAUAAAGCUCAUCUAGUUGCUCGUGGAUUCACACAAACUUAUGGAGUUGAUUAUAAGGAGACUUUUGCCUAUGUGGUAAAAAUGAACACUGUCCGAGUCCUCUUAUCAGUCGCAAUCAAUUUUGCAUGGCCUCUUUUUCAAAUGGACAUCAAGAAUGCCUUCUUACAUGGUGAUCUCGAAGAAGAAGUUUAUAUGAAACUUCCACCAGGCCAUUCACAAGCAGGUGAUAAAGAUAUGGUAUGCAAAUUACAUAAGUCCAUCUAUGGCCUUAAGCAAUCUCCUUGAGCGUGGUAUGCCAAACUCAACUCGGUGCUGGAAAAUAUUGGUUUUCGACGGAGUAAUGUUGAUUUAUCUCUCUUCAUUCGAAAUGGUUCCACUGGAAAACUUGUUGUACUCAUCUACGUUGAUGAUCUUAUCGUGACCGGUGACAACCUAUCUGAGAUUCACUCCCUUAAGCAGUAUCUUCGUAACAAAUUUGCUCUCAAAGAUCUUGGUAUUCUCAAGUAUUUUCUGGGUAUUGAACUGGCUCGUUAAAGCAAAGGUUUAUUCCUAAACCAACGAAAGUAUGCUCUUGAUCUCUUGCAAGAAGUUGAAAUGUUAGCAUGCAAACCAGUUCACACCCCACUGGACACCAAUCUUAAACUAGACAUUCAAGGAGAGCCACUCACAAAUUUGAGCUAUUAUCAACGAAUGGUUGGCAAGUUUAUUUAUCUUACCAUUACAAGACUUGACAUCUCGUAUGCAGUGAGCAUUGUUAGUCAAUUCAUGCAUUCCCUAACUACAACUCACAUGAAGAUUGUAUAUCGCAUUCUUUGUUAUCUCAAAGGUUCAGUUGGUAGGGGCAUCUUGAUGAAGAAGAACAAUCAUACAACAAUCAUCGGCUACACUGAUGCAGAUUGGGCAAGCAACUUUAUUGAUCGCAAAUCAACCACAGGUUUUUGCAUGUUUGUUGGUGGCAAUCUAGUCACUUGGAAAAGCAAGAAACAAAGUGUUGUGGCUGCGCAGAGGCUGAGUAUCGUGCCAUGGCAUCCACUGCCUGUGAACUAAUUUGGCUUAAAGGUCUCCUUGAUGAUUUGGGUUUCUCUCAUACUCAACCCAUGUCUAUGUUUUGUGAUAAUCAAGCUGCAAUGCACAUUGCAUCCAAUCAUGUGUUUCACGAACGCAUAAAGCAUAUCGAAGUUGAUUGUCACUAUGUUCGCACCCAGGUUCAAUCCAAUAUCAUUGAUACUCACUACACGCGAAGCCAUGAUCAGUUAGCGAAUAUUUUCACAAAAAGUCUUGCUUCUACUGGUUUUCAGCGUAUUAUGGACAAGCUUGGAUCAAUCAACCCCUUUGAUCCAGCUUGAAGGGGAGUAUUGGAAGAAGUUAUCUCUUAGCUGUAAAGUUAAAGUUACUUAGCUGUAAAGUUAAAGUUAUUGAAGGACUGUAAGUAGGUUGGCUAUUUACAUCAGUUAAGGAGUGUAAGAAGGUUGUUGUCUUGUGUCCUUAAUUCAAGGGAUAUCUGACAUAUUGUGUCCUUAAUUCAAGGGAUCUUUCUUAGCUGUAAAGUUAAAGUAGUUUUAGGCGUGUGUUAUGGGAGGUCAGAAGGUUGUCUUCUACCUUGCCUAUAUAGUGUAACCAUUUCUCUUGUACUUUUUCACAAUUCAUAAUAUACAAAAACCUUCAAAUUACAGCAAAACCCAUCAGAUUCCCAAGUUAAUAAUGUUGAAAAUUGCUAUGUCUAUUGGGUUUCUCUAUUUAUUUCAUGUACUAGUUUAUGUUCCUUUUAUUUAUAUAUAACUUGUUCUUGGAUUGCUGGAAGACAAGUCUGAUUUGAAUGACAUUACUACAAUAAAGUUAGUUGUCAAGCUUCUCUUUAUUCCAAGCUUGCAUUUUGUUUUGCCUUUUCCAAUUCUCUACAGCCCCUAAGAGGACUGUAUCAAGCAAGCCCUAUGGUGGUAACGGUUGCAACAACUACAAGAAAAUAUGGAAUAGGUGACCAAAUUUUAUGAAUCACCCAAAAAUUCGUCACAUAUUUUUUUCUAUAUGUGACGAAUUGUUCAAAGAGUCACACAUGACUAGUUUUUUAGGUAUGAAAUUUGAGAACACUUAGGUGACGAUAAAUACGUCACAUAUUCUAGAAUGGAGUGAGAAAAUCAUAAGCGUCACUUAAAAUUAUUUUAUACCUUUUAAGAUGAAAAAGUGGUGACACAAAUUUUUUGAAGUCCUUACUAAAAUCUAUGGCGAGGAACAAUGGUAGGAUAUGUGAGGAAUUGCAAAAGGGUCACAUAUGUGUAUUCUUGGUGACGAAAGUGAUUCAUCACUUUUCCAACAGUAAAAAAAGAAAAAGGAAACAUAGUAAAGUAUUAAACAAAUUUGAGAAAGCCCAUCUUAAUUCUAAAUCAUUCUCUUUCACUUUCACUUUCUCUGUCUCUUAGACUUCUCCCAUUUCUCAUUGUUGUGACCCAAGCCAACCGACGUGUCUCUUAAUCUUCUUCUCUCUCUAUCGUGACAUUACCGGGAUCUUCUAAGCCAAAUGCUCAAACCCUCUCUCAUCUAUUCAAUGUCUAUCACACUCCACAACCAAAAACCCUAGAGACCAAUUCAACCAACAAGCCAAAUCCACACUUGUCGCGUCUCAACCUUCUUCCAGUUUCUUGCGCCAAAACCAAAAACCCAAGAACCAUAGAAACCCUUUCCACCAACUACAUAAAUCUAUGCCAAAUUUCUCCACACCUACGAGACUACUAUGUGGCCAAAUGGUUAACGAAUUCAAUUUUUAUCAUUCUUUUUAACUUAGGGUUUUGGAUUUGCAGGUAAUUGCCUCCAAAUUGAGCAUGCCAGCAGCCCUCGACGGUCUUCAUCCAUCUUUCAAGGACUCUAAUUGGGUAAAUUUGGUUUUUAAUUUUUAGAUUUAUAUAUAAAUGUUAUUGUAAACACGAAUAUUCUUGCAAUGAAUGAGACAAGAACACGUGUACAAAGUAAUAUUUCUAUUAAUGAUUUAGGAGUUACAAUCUCUUCUACAAAUUUAGCCUCUGAUUCGAUCUUCGUAAUGUGUAGAUUUGUGAAUUGUUGUUGAUCCAAGGGCCUUUGAGGCUUGAUAUUAGGAUGAACAUGUGAUGAACGAUGAACGUUUUCUUCAAGGGGGUCGUCAGGGCUUGAUCUUGAAUUAUAGAAGUUCUUCAAGGGGCGUUAAGGCCUGAUCUUGAAGGAGGAUUUGGUGGAAGUUCUUCAAGGGUCGUUGGGGCUUGAUCUUGAAUGAGGAUUUGACAAAGAACGAAGAGAGCUUUCUUGAUCCUUCGGGAUUUGGUUGGAAGCUUUGGAGUUUCAAAGCUUCAAGGUUUUGGUGUGAUGUGAAUUGGUUAUGAAUUCAUUCCCGAAAAUGAAUGCAUUGGCUUCCUAUUUAUAGAAUUCCAAAACUUGAUUUUUGGAUUUAAAUAAUUAGAUGAAAUAAAUCAUUUCUGCCAGGUGUUGACACGUGUUUUAUUUGAUGACUUUUUCAAUGAUUUUCAAUUUUUCGUUGAGUCACAUGCUACGUGUAAAAUUUAUGUGACUGAUGAACGUUGGAAUUUUUAAUUAUUGAUCAACAUUUAUUUCACCGAAAUUUCGAUGUCUACAAAUGCCCCCACUUCAAGGCGCAUCGUAUACAUGUGCUUAUCACGUAUAGAAGAUGUGUUUUGAAGUCCCUUAAUGUAGAUGUCAAACCAAGGGCCGUCGAGGCUUGAUCUUGAAUUGGGCUGGAAGUUUCUUCAAGGGACGUCAGGGCUUGGUCUUGAAUUUGGCUGGAAGAUUUUCUGGUUUCCUCCAACUGUUGAUUUUCCACAGGCUUAAUCUUGAACUAGGCUAGAAGGUUUUCUGGUUUCCUCCAACUGUUGAUUUUCCACAGGCUUAAUCUUGGAUUAGGCUGGAGGGUUUUCUGGUUUCCUCCAAGGGUUUGAACUUACUUCUUUUAUCUGGAGCUGAAUUUGAUUCAAGGGCAGUAGACAUUUGAUUUUGGAUCGGACAUGUGAUUUCUUCAAAGGCUUUUGGGGCUUGAUCUUAAAGUUAAAUAGGACUAUGAGCAGUUUUCAGGAUUCAGACAUAUGGCAAACAAGCACGAGGUGGAGGUGAUGGUCUGUUUCUUUGUUCAAUCUUUCCAAUCCAUACCCAAGCAGUUUGGUUAACGAUAUGAUCUUCAAGGGUGGUGGACACUUGAUCUUGAAUCGGACUCGUGAUUUCUUUAAGGGCCAUUGAGGCUUGAUCUUGAAUUUAAAUAGGACCACGAACGGCUUCACUUGGCAAGUGAGAUUCGGCUUUGUUAGGGAUGAACCAGCACGUGCAGUUGUUGUGUUUGUUGAUUAUCCCCAAGCUUGAUGUUUCUAGGCGAUCGGUUCCUGACUGGAAGCUUGAUUCCAAGUGUUGACUGAGUGCUCUCCUUCUCAUUGUCCUGUAAGUAAGAACAAUGACAAAGAAAAUGACAGAGAGAAAGCAUGAUAUGACAUUUUUUUGCUUUUGAAGAAGCAGGGGUGAUCGAGGGAAAAGGAAAAAAAGCCCUUUGUGAAGCCUUUACUCUGUGAAUCCUAUUCGCGCAUAUAUAUUUGCACGACACUAUCACCAUGUUCAUAUAUAUAUAUAUAUAUAUAUAUAUAUAUAUAUAUAUAUAUUUGGAAGGUGCAUGGCACCAUCACCAUGUUCAUAUAUACAUGCAUACAUACAUAUAUAUAUAUAUAAUAUAAUAUAAUAUAAUAUAAUGUCUAUCUAUAUAUAACAUGUGUACCCCUCUGACGG
rnacentral:lncRNA from 1 species